CUUAAAUCUUUCAAAGAAACCUACAAAGACAAUGCUGGAAACACUCAGCAGGUCAGGCAGCAUCUGUGGAGAGAGGCAGAGUUAAUGGUUCAGGUCGAGGAUCAUUUGUUAGGACUGGGAUAGAAGGAAAACUGAGAUGCUGCCUGACCUGCUGUUCCUCCGGCAUUUUGUGUGUUUUGCUCCAGAUUCCAUUAUCUGCAGAAUCUCUUGUGUCUCUAGGAUGCUUUCUAUGGUCCAUCGAUAAAAGUUGUCUGUCCGUUCCAACAAAGCUUCACAUGAACUGAAGGAACAGUACUCUCAUCUUCCACCUUGGCACAUCACAGCCUUCAGGACUCACCACUGAUUUGGAAUUGGAAUUGGAAUAUUAUUGUCAC